rnacentral:rRNA from 1 species
GAUGAACGCUGGCGGCGUGCCUAAUACAUGCAAGUCGAGCGAACAGACGAGGAGCUUGCUCCUCGGACGUUAGCGGCGGACGGGUGAGUAACACGUGGAUAACCUACCUAUAAGACUGGGAUACUUCGGGAAACCGGAGCUAAUACCGGAUAAUAUAUUGAACCGCAUGGUUCAAUAGUGAAAGACGGUUUUGCUGUCACGUAUAGAUGGAUCCGCGCCGCAUUAGCUAGUUGGUAAGGUAACGGCUUACCAAGGCAACGAUGCGUAGCCGACCUGAGAGGGUGAUCGGCCACACUGGAACUGCGACACGGUCCAGCCUCCUACGGGAGGCAGCAGUAGGGAAUCUUCCGCAAUGGGCGAAAGCCUGACGGAGCAACGCCGCGUGAGUGAUGAAGGUCCUCUGAUCGUAAAACUCUGUUAUUAGGGAAGAACAAAUGUGUAAGUAACUAUGCACGUCUUGACGGUACCUAAUCAGAAAGCCACGGCUAACUACGUG